rnacentral:rRNA from 1 species
AUGCAACUUACACUUAUAGCUAUCUACUUUGAGAAUCUUUGGACCAAGAAGCCUCAAUUCAAGCUUGUGGUGCAAAAAGCUUGGAAUGAAGCUUCCACCCACUCCGGUCCUUCUGGGCUUCUUUUUCACAAGCUCAAGAGACUAGCCAGCGGCAUCGCGCUUGGAGCAAAACCAUCUUCUCCAACAUCAUGGUUUAGGUGCACAUGGCUCUCGAGGCCAUCCUUCGCCUUGAUGCGGCCCAAGAAAAUAGAGUGUUUUUUUGUUGAUAAGUGGGAUCUCAAGAAAAGACUCAAAAGAAGAGUGCUUGGUUUAACCACUUUCAAGAGUGCUUGCAAGGGGCAAUGCUCCAGAAUUACCAAUCUGAACGAGGGAUAUGUAAAUAUUUUGACUUCUGAAUCAACCAUAGAAGAAGAAGAACAGAAAAAUAUCCACCGCCUCAAGCAUGGCCCUGGGUGGGUUACUAUACAUGAGCACAAGGAGGUUGUCGUCCAAAAGCAUUUGUCACCAUCAUGA